CGCGGCGACCCCCCGCGGCGGGGACGGCGAGGCCCGGCGGCGGCGCGGGCCCUGAGGAGCGAGCGGGGCCGGCGAGCCGGGGUCCGCGACGAGGAGGAGCCGGAGGGCGGCGGCGAGGCGCGGCGAGCGGGGCCCGAGGAGGAGCCGGAGCUGCGGCUGGUGCGCGGGCCGCCCCCGCCGCUCUCUUUAGGCCGGUGCGAGGAGACGGAGGCGCGGGCGCCGCUGCGGUACAUGGCUCCGGCAGCAGCGGCCACGGCGGCAGCUCCGACCCCGGGCGCCCGGGCCGCGGGCCCCCAGCGCGCCGCCGCAGCUGCAGCCUCGGCCGCCUCGGCCGCCACGGCUGCCGCGCCCGCCCCCGCAGCCAGCGCGGCCCCCCCUCCCCUCGGCCUGCACCGCCCCCGGGCCGGGCCGAGCGCGCCCCCGCGGCCGCAGCUGGCGGUUGGAGGGCGCGAGCACGCGUCCGACACACCCCCGCCCUCCGGGGCUCCCCGCUCCUCCACUCAGGGAGCAGCCACAGGAGCCCGAAGAGGGGAGGAGCGCGGAAGCCGGCGCGGGGCCGCACGAGCGCAGGGGAAGUGAAGCGUGCGACCUGCACUCCGCACGCUCCGCCUCCGAGCCCGCAAGAUGGCGGCCGUCGAGCCGCCCGACGCACCGCCCCCUGCGAUCACGUGACCCCUGGGCCUCCGCCCGGGGGGGUGGGGCGGGGCCCGGCGGAAGAGAAGGGAUUCGCGGGAGCCGAGCAGGCGCUUCCCGGGAUGCUCCAGGCUUCCGGACGCAGUGGGCUCGGAGGCCGUGGGAGAGCGUCCGCCUUCUCCUCUUCCCCCCGCCCCGUUAAUUUACGUGGGGACAAUAAACGGUUAUACAAGAUGGGAAUAUAAGUAAUCCCCAAAACCUUAAGUAUGUGGGAGGUUGCGCACCUCGGCAAGAGCGACCGCCGAAGUCCCGGCCCCCGGAGAAGCCGCGCGACAAUCGUCAGUUUACUUUGCAGUUUGCCUGAUUUCUAGAGGGUCACGGGGAAGAUCACUCACCGCCCGGUCCACUUCAGGAAGGGAGGCCCGGAGAGCUUUUGUGAGCGCUGCACACCCCCCGGUCUAUGACGAGAAUUUUCCUGGACGCCUGGCUGUAGGAGUCGUCCCCGGUCUCAGGGUCUUGCAUACGAAUUACGAAGGCGAGAAAAAGACAACACAGAGGAGAAGAAAAACAAUGGUCAAAAUAUGAAAAAAAUGUUGACCCUAACCAAACUUUUCAAAAUGAAACAAUGGCUUAACAGUUUUCGUCUAUCAACUAGAAACGCAAAACGAAAUUGAGAUGAAAAUCAGGUUUCUCAUUCCAAAGCAUAGGCAGAACAAAGAAAAAUUUAAUUAUAAAAGAUUUCCAUUGUCUAAUUUAUAUGUUUCCAUGUUAAAUUUAAAAUAUAUCCAAUUUCACAUGUUUUUGUAUAAUGGCAUCUGCUUACAUCAUAGUUUAGUAAAAAUAGAGUAAAAUUUUACCAAUUGAGUUUUCUUCCCCUCAGUUUACUUCACCCCUUAGCUUUAUCUGCCUGCUCUCUUUAGGCAUGUGAAUUUCUGAUUUCUGACUUCUGGGUUUUGUGGCUUAAAGGGGCCUUCAACGUGUCAAGGUUAUUAAUAUAUUCUUCUAUCUGUAUUUUAAGACUUUAAUGAUUUUGUUUUCCAUAUUUAGUUUACCUGGAAUUUUAUGUAUGAGUCCUCACAUAAUCUGUUAAGUUAAAAUCUAAAAUUAUUUUUUACAGAUGGAUAGACAAUUUUGUUUGAAACAUGAAUUGGGAUUAUCUGUAUACUGGGAAGUCAUAGUGAGGGAAUGAGUUAUCCUAAUGAAUGAACUCUGCCAAAUGCUAAUUAGCUACAUCUCAAUCCAAUUCUGUUCUCUUUUGGUUGGGUUACUUACAGUAAAGAGAUUUUUUUUUAAUGUUAUUUCUUUGUGAAAAAAACCCUAAAUACCAGGAUUGAUAAUGGAAGUAAAAGAAAGUAAAGUAAUCUGGGAAAGUAAUGGAUCUUAACCAAAAAAUAUAAGUUAUAUGCAAGGUUUCUGAGCAGUCUAGAACAUAUUUCAUAAUGUAUCCUGUACAAUAGAAACUUGCACUCAGAGUUUCGGAUACACCAGCUCAGUAGCAUAAAAGGCCUGUCAGAGAAGGGCGACAUUCUAUGUAAGUGAGUCUAGAGAAGUUGAUUUUCAGUCAUCUCUGGCUUCUGGGCUUAGGCGAUCUAAGAGAUGUUACCAGGGCUCAUCGAUUCCUGGGUCUCCUCUCAUUCUGGGCAUGAGGAAAUGAUGCCCUUCCUUCCCCCUUUCAGAAAGGGGGGCCAUGGGACUAUUUCUAGCCACUGUGGGCUGUGAAUGGAAGCACCUUGUGUCAUUUCCAGGCCCGAUCAGGAAAGAGUAGUUAUAAGAUUUCCAUGCUCUCCCUUCCCAUGCUGUGGCAACUGAGGAAGCCACUUGUUCCAGAUGGUACAGCCUGUCAACCUGGGUCCUGGAGUGACUGUGUGGAUCAGAGCACCACUCCCACCCUGAGCUGAACGUGCACCAUGAGCAUGAAAUAAAACUUUGUUGUGUUAAGCACUGAGAUUUGAGUGAGAAUUUGCUAUCACAGUAUAACCAUGGCUAAUAUAACUGUUAUGGAGGUGUUUUUUCAUUGUUUUGUUUUGCUUUGCUAUCUCAUCUGUAUUUUCUGACUUUUAGGAGAUAUAUAUAUAUAAUUUAUAUAAAAUUUAAAACCCAUAAAAGUUAUUCUACUGAAAAAAUAAUAAAAAAUCUUUCAGAGGUG
rnacentral:lncRNA from 1 species